AUCUUGUCGUGGGAGCCUGGGAAGCAUCCAGCCCACCAGAAGCUGCUCCAAAUGGACUGGGAGAGAACAUCAGGCUGGCCUUGCGUGCCUCUGCCCGCGGUUGCAGAGAAGUGCCGACAUCGCCUGGAAGCUCUUGACACAGAUCAUUGUUCUGGCUUUCUGCUGCUUCAUCACUUGCAAGUACCUACACCCUGAUUCCUCUCCUAGUGGUGAUGCAGCCUUUAGACUUGUCUCCCACCUCAGUGGGACAAUAUCUGAGUAUUCCCCAAACCUAUUUCAUCGCUUCCUUAUCAUCUGUAUAGGUACUUAAGAUGACAGCACAUGUCACGGGGUCUCUCUAUGGCAAGGGCCAGAGUCAUCCUCUGAUGACUCCAGAGUCAUCUUCUGUCCUACAUCACACCAGCAGCUUUGAUGGAACAUCUCAGGGAAGGGCUCAGUGAGGAAGGAGGGAUAAAGAAGGUCCACUGGGAACCUCACCUCACCUUAAAGCCAUCUUUAAGAGUGCUACAUCAGAUACAGAAGCAUUGAUAAUUAAUGAAAAUGGCCUUGAAACUGGUUUAGAGGCUAUUUAUUAAAGUAAAGGGUAAAUUGGACUCUUUGGACCAUCCAUUAUGUCCUGGCACCUCCUUUAACUUCAAUAUCCCAAAGCAGCUUUCACCACCCACGCAACACAUGUUAGGUUUGAAACAAUCCUUAUUCUUGCUUCCCUGGCUGGAAAAGUAUUAUUUGGCACUCAAAGUGGCCACCAUGGAAGGGAAGGGACACGAUCUGGCAGAUGUGUGGCACUGGGAGGCCAGGUCUGCAUUGAGGUGGGUCCCCAACCAAGGCAGCCCUGCUGCAAGGCUGAACUCUGGUUCCCUUCCCAUCUGUGUCAGGCAGUCUUCUCCAUGGUGUAUCCUUACAGCUGCUUGGGAU